rnacentral:rRNA from 1 species
GACGAACGCUGGCGGCGUGCUUAACACAUGCAAGUCGAACGGAAAGGCCCUUCGGGGUACUCGAGUGGCGAACGGGUGAGUAACACGUGGGUGAUCUGCCCUGCACUUUGGGAUAAGCCUGGGCAACUGGGUCUAAUACCGAAUAGGACCACGCGCUUCAUGGUGUGUGGUGGAAAGCUUUUGCGGUGUGGGAUGGGCCCGCGGCCUAUCAGCUUGUUGGUGGGGUAAUGGCCUACCAAGGCGACGACGGGUAGCCGGCCUGAGAGGGGGACCGGCCACGCUGGGACGGAAAUGCGGCCCAGACUCCUACGGGAGGCAACAGUGGGGAAUAUUGCACAAUGGGCGCAAGCCUGAUGCAGCGACGCCGCGUGGGGGAUGACGGCCUUCGGGUUGUAAUCCUCUUUCACCAGGGACGAAGCGUAAGUGACGGUACCUGGAGAAGAAGCACCGGCCAACUACGUG